UUUCAGGUUUGUGUUACCACUUUUGCAUUUUGGUGGUGCUAGUGACAAGAUAAAAUUAAGGUUUUUGUUCUCCCUCAUAUAAUCGUGAAGGAACUCUUCACUUUAUCACAAUCUACCCAUUCUUUUGCCCUUGAUACAGUUGUCAGUAGCUCCCAUUUCUGAUGGUAAUUCAAACUUCGCGCCAUUACUCCAGACUCAUUUUCAGCGGUAUGCGUCACGUCCUGUGUUAACAGCCCUCGGUCCAGAGUUGUCAAGUUUCGUAAUAUUAAUGCACGGUUCUACGAUUCCCAGAGGC
rnacentral:lncRNA from 1 species